rnacentral:rRNA from 1 species
GGCCAGGCUUUUAAGGGUGUACGGUGAAUGCCUUGGCACCAGAAGUCGAUGAAGGACGUGGUAAGCUGCGAUAAGCUCGGGGGAGGAGUAAACAUCCUUUGAUCCCGAGAUGUCCGAAUGGGGAAACCCUUCCUAAGAAAUUAGGAAAUUUUAAAGUGAAAGCUCGAACGUCAGUUUGAGUCAUAGCUUUAAAAAGACAACGCGGGGAACUGAAACAUCUUAGUACCCGCAGGAAAAGAAAUCAAUUGAGAUUCCGCCAGUAGUGGCGAGCGAACGCGGAAUAGCCUAAAUUCUGAUAGCUUGCUGUCAGAAGGUUGUAGGGCAGUUUGCGGUUUAGAGCCAGAAGACACCAUUUUACUAAUUGAAUUUCUCUGGAAAGAGAAGCCAUAGAAGGUGAUAGCCCUGUAAAUAAAAGUAAAAUGGACUUCCAAACUGUUCCUGAGUACCACGAGUCACGUGAAAUCUCGUGGGAAUCUGGGGGGCCCAUCCUCCAAGGCUAAAUACUCUCUGGUGACCGAUAGUGAACUAGUACCGCGAGGGAAAGGCGAAAAGAACCCCUGUUAGGGGAGUGAAAUAGAACCUGAAACCGUCCAUCUACAAUCUGUCGAAGCACUAUGCCCCGACGCAAGUCGGGGAAUGUGCGACGGCGUGCCUGUUGAAGAAUGAUCCAGCGAGUUACUGGUCCCAGCAAGGUUAACCCCGGUUUGUCGGGGGGAGCCGUAGCGAAAGCGAGUCCUAAUUGGGCGAAUAGUUGGUAUCAGUAGACCCGAAUCCAAGUGAUCUAUUCCUGAGCAGGGUGAACCCCGAUUAACAAUCGGGGGGAGGCCCGAAGGGUUAAACGUUGAAAAGUUUCUCCAUGACUUGGGAAUAGGAGUGAAAGGCCAAUCGAACUUGGUGAUAGCUGGUUCUCCUCGAAAUAGCUUUAGGGCUAGCGUUGUGAGUUAAAUCACGGGGGUAGAGCACUGAAUGAUGUAGGCUCUGCGACCCAGGGUCCGAAUUCAAUCAAACUCCGAAUACCGUGAUGUAUUUCACAGCAGUCAGUUCGUGAGGGAUAAGCUUCACGUGCAAAAGGGAAACAGCCCAGAUCGCCGAUUAAGGUCCCCAAAUUUACGCUAAGUGGUAAAGGAAGUGAAUUUGCUAAAACAGCUAGGAGGUUGGCUUAGAAGCAGCCACCCUUUAAAGAGUGCGUAACAGCUCACUAGUCUAGCAAAUUUGCACCGAAAAUGACUCGGGGCUAAAGCGUAAUACCGAAAUCGCGGAUUUCUUGAUUUAUUUCAAGAAGUGGUAGAGGAGCGUUCUUAAUGCUGCGAAGGCGUACCGUAAGGAGCGCUGGAGCGUUAAGAAGUGAGGAUGCUGGAAUAAGUAGCGAUAAACAAGGUGAGAAUCCUUGUCGCCAAAAGCCUAAGGUUUCCUGGGCAAUGUUCGUCAGCUCAGGGUUAGUCGGUCCUAAGCUGAGGCCGAAAGGCGUAAGUAAAGGACAUCCGGUUAAUAUUCCGGAACUACGAUAAAUGCGUCAUAACUCAAGGGGUGACGCAGUAAGGUAAGCCUACCGGGUAAAGGUUGUCCCGGGGAAAGACUGUAGGGAGAUCUUCGAGGUAAAUCCCGAGGAUCGUUAAACUGAACGUCGAGACUAGUGCGGGUAACCGUGCGAAGUGGCCCAACUACACUGCCAAGAAAAACCUCGUGGGGAGUAUUUAUCGUAACCGUACCUCAAACCGACACAGGUAGGCGGGUUGAGUAUACUAAGGCGCGCGAGAUAACCUUCGCUAAGGAACUAGGCAAACUAGCUCCGUAACUUCGGAAGAAGGAGUGCCUGAGUAAUGUCGUGGAUUUUAAAGUUUACGGCAUGAAAAGGUCGCAGUGAAAUGGGUUCCGUGACUGUUUAACAAAAACACAGGGCUCUGCUGAAAUCACAAGAUGAUGUAUAGGGCCUGAUGCCUGCCCGGUGCUGGAAGGUCAAGGUAAGGGGUCAUUCCGACUUGUCGGAAGAAGCUCCGAACUUAAGCCCCAGUAAACGGCGGCGGUAACUAUAACCGUCCUAAGGUAGCGAAAUUCCUUGUCGGGUAAGUUCCGACCUGCACGAAUGGCAUAACGAAGGAACCGCUGUCUCAGCGAAGGGCUCGGCGAAAUUGUGGUGCAAGUGAAGACGCUUGCUACGCGCAGCAAGACGAGAAGACCCCAUGGAGCUUCACUGUAGCUUGUUAUUGAAUUACGGUUUUGAAUGCGUAGGAUAGGUGGGAGUCGGUGAUCCUCAGGUUUUGGCCUGAGGGGAGACGUCGGUGAAAUACCACCCUUUUAAAAUUGUGAUUCUAAUUUCAUGCCGUAUAACCGGCUGAAAGACAGUGGCAGGUGGGCAGUUUGACUGGGGCGGUCGCCUCCUAAAAUGUAACGGAGGCGUUCAAAGGUUCCCUCAAGGCGUAUAGAAAUCGCCUGACGAGUGCAAGGACAGAAGGGAGCUUGACUGCAAGGCUGACAGGCCAAGCAGAUACGAAAGUAGGACCUAGUGAUCCGGUGGUUCCGAAUGGAAGGGCCAUCGCUCAACGAAUAAAAGCUACCCUGGGGAUAACAGGCUAGUCUGAUCCAAGAGUCCAUAUCGACGAUCAGGUUCGGCACCUCGAUGUCGGCUCAUCGCAUCCUCCCGCUGAAGCAGGUGGGAAGGGUUGGGCUGUUCGCCCAUUAAAGCGGUACGUGAGCUGGGUUCAGUACGUCGUGAGACAGUACGGUCUCUAUCUGCUGCGUGCGAAGGGAACUUGAAGGGAGCUGUCCACAGUACGAGAGGACCUGGAUGGACAAACCUCCUGUAUACCAGUUGUCCUGCCAAGGGCAUAAGCUGGGUAGCGGAUGUUUGGAAGGGAUAAGCGCUGAAAGCAUCUAAGUGCGAAACCCACCCUAAGAUAAGGUUCCCCAUCUGUUAAGGAGUAAGGACCCCCAUAGACUAUGGGGUUGAUAGGGUAGAAGUGUAAGCAUAGUAAUAUGUUGAGCUAACUACUACUAAUCGUCCGAGGGUCUGGCCU